rnacentral:rRNA from 1 species
AGCGUAGGCGGAUAGUUUAGUCAGAGGUGAAAGCCCAGGGCUCAACCUUGGAAAUGCCUUUGAUACUGGCUAUCUUGAGUAUGGGAGAGGUAAGCGGAAUUCCGAGUGUAGAGGUGAAAUUCGUAGAUAUUCGGAAGAACACCGGUGGCGAAGGCGGCUUACUGGACAAGUACUGACGCUGAGGUACGAAAGCGUGGGGAGCAAACA